rnacentral:rRNA from 1 species
AUGGAUCAGGAGCUGAUCGAGCACCUUGAGGCCAAAGUGAGUGCUAAUAGCGCGAGAUUUCGGUCUCUCAUCGAUUUCUUCAUACCAACCAUCAACAGCGAGCACGACAUAUGCUACACCCAACCUGAGAAACUUCCAGCAAAAAAGGUUCUGGUGCUGCACACCAACAAGAACUGCGACCAGCAGAGGACCAACUGGGUGAUGCACCAGUACCACCUCGGGGACCUGGAGCAAGAGAAGGAGCGGGAGCUGUUGUACUACCUCGUCGUCCGCAAGUUGGUAUUGUUGUUAACAAUCUUUUGGUCGAGCAAGUUUCAACUGGGUUGUAGACUGGCCAGGGUUGGUUUUGUUUUUAACAGGCCCAGCCCAUGA